rnacentral:sRNA from 1 species
AAGCAUGUUAUGAGGUUGAUCGCAAGGC